UACGAAGGGGGCUAGCGUUGCUCGGAAUGACUGGGCGUAAAGGGCGCGUAGGCGGCUCAUACAGUCAGAUGUGAAAUUCCUGGGCUUAACCUGGGGGCUGCAUUUGAUACGUGUGGGCUUGAGUGGGGAAGAGGGUCGUGGAAUUCCCAGUGUAGAGGUGAAAUUCGUAGAUAUUGGGAAGAACACCGGUGGCGAAGGCGGCCCACUGGUCCGGUACUGACGCUGAGGUGCGAAAGCGUGGGGAGCAAACAGG
rnacentral:rRNA from 1 species